rnacentral:rRNA from 1 species
AACGAACGCUGGCGGCAGGCCUAACACAUGCAAGUCGAGCGAGGACUUCGGUCCUAGCGGCGGACGGGUGAGUAACGCGUGGGAACGUGCCCUUUGCUUCGGAAUAGCCCUGGGAAACUGGGAGUAAUACCGGAUGAGCCCUUUGGGGGAAAGAUUUAUCGGCGAAGGAUCGGCCCGCGUUGGAUUAGGUAGUUGGUGGGGUAAUGGCCUACCAAGCCGACGAUCCAUAGCUGGUUUGAGAGGAUGAUCAGCCACACUGGGACUGAGACACGGCCCAGACUCCUACGGGAGGCAGCAGUGGGGAAUCUUAGACAAUGGGGGAAACCCUGAUCUAGCCAUGCCGCGUGAGCGAUGAAGGCCUUAGGGUUGUAAAUCUCUUUCAGCUGGGAAGAUAAUGACGGUACCAGCAGAAGAAGCCCCGGCUAACUCCGUG